rnacentral:rRNA from 1 species
CGCGUAGGCGGCUUCGGAAGUCAUGGGUGAAAGCCCCAGGCUCAACCUGGGAAUUGCCUGUGAAACCACGGAGCUGGAGGGCAGGAGAGGAGAGUGGAAUUGCUGGUGUAGCGGUGAAAUGUGUAGAUAUCAGCAAGAACACCCGUGGCGAAAGCGGCUCUCUGGACUGCUCCUGACGCUGAGACGCGAAAGCCAGGGGAGCGAACG